UGAUGCGUUAAUACCAGCACUAAUGCGUCGGAUCCCAUCAGAACUCCGCAGUUAAGCGCGCUUGGGCGAGAGUAGUACUGGGAUGGGUGACCUCCUGGGAAGUCCUCGUGUUGCACCCC
rnacentral:rRNA from 1 species